AUGGCUAUCAAUGAAAUCGCAAUGUGUUACUGUUGCCUUUCCAUUACCGCUGACACAAUUAUCACAUGGAAAAAAUACUGUUUUAUAGAGCCUGAGGUUCCUAAAGAAAAAGCUCCUGAACCAAAACUCAAAAGAGUACCUGAAGUCAUCAAAGAGAAAGUAAAACCAGCCCCUGAAAAGAAAGAGGCUGAAGUCAAGGAGAAAGCUAAACCAGCCCCUGAGAAGAAAGAGGCUGAAGUCAUCAAGGAGAAAGUUAAAACAGCUCCUGUAAAGAAAGAGCCUGAAGUUCCUAAAGAAAAGGCUCCUGAACCAAAACCCAAAAAAGAAGCAGAAGUCAUCAAAGAGAAAGUAAAACCAGCCCCUGAGAAGAAAGGUUUGAUUUACUGUUAA
rnacentral:lncRNA from 1 species